rnacentral:rRNA from 1 species
GGACCCGCACAAGCGGUGGAUGAUGUGGAUUAAUUCGAUGCAACGCGAAAAACCUUACCUACCCUUGACAUGCCCGGAAUCCCGCAGAGAUGUGGGAGUGCCCGAAAGGGAGCCGGGGCACAGGUGCUGCAUGGCUGUCGUCAGCUCGUGUCGUGAGAUGUUGGGUUAAGUCCCGCAACGAGCGCAACCCUUGUCACUAGUUGCUACGAAAGGGCACUCUAGUGAGACUGCCGGUGACAAACCGGAGGAAGGUGGGGAUGACGUCAAGUCCUCAUGGCCCUUAUGGGUAGGGCCUCACACGUCAUACAAUGGCCGGUACAAAGGGCUGCCAACCCGCGAGGGGGAGCUAAUCCUGGAAAGCCGGUCGUAGUCCGGAUUGCAGUCUGCAACUCGACUGCAUGAAGUCGGAAUCGCUAGUAAUCGUGGAUCAGCAUGUCACGGUGAAUACGUUCCCGGGUCUU